rfam:Hordeum vulgare subsp. vulgare, WGS project CAJW01000000 data, contig: morex_contig_719896
GAAGUUAUUACGGUGAGAAUCCAAUGCCCCGAAAACCCAAGGUUUCCUCCGCAAGGUUCGUCCACGGAGGGUGAGUCAGGGCCUAAGAUCAGGCCGAAAGGCGUAGUCGAUGGACAACAGGUCAAUAUUCCUGUACUACCCCUUGUUGGUACUGAGGGACGGAGGAGGCUAGGUUAGCCGAAAGAUGGUUAUAGGUUUAAGGACACAAGGUGACCCUGCUUUUUCAGGGUAAGAAGGGGUAGAGAAAAUGCCUCGAGCCGAGGUCCGAGUACCAAGCGCUGCAGCGCUGAAGUAUGAGACCCGUGGACUAGCAAUUGCUUCUCCA